AUAAUGAAAUAGGGGCACGGCAAUUCGGCUUUGGUGGUCACUACACAACUUCAUCUUGAAUAUGUGUUAUGCAAAUCAAUAGCAAGCUUUGAAUGAAAUAGGCAUGAGUUCUAGCAUUUGGAACUAAAUGAUGAAACGCCUUCUAAGCAGCAACCAAACAAAGAAUAAUGAGAUCAUGCAACGACUUUAGAAAACAAUGAUGCACAGAUUAUUAACUCUCUAAAUAAACGUUUAGGCUCAAGUCUCACAAGGUUGUAGCGUUCAUUUGAGUUCAUUCCUUCAAGCAUGUUACAAAAACUGAUUUUUCCUUUAUGAUUGCAUGUGAAUUCAUAAAUUAUAACCACAACCAAGCAUACACCAAAGAGUAAAUCAAUUUUCAUCCAUGUU
rnacentral:lncRNA from 1 species